GAAUCUUGCUACCCACACACACUAUGUCUCCUCCUUUCUUACAUAAUUAGUUCGUAUUUCUAUAGUGUAAUAGAUUUUUAUAAAAGGCUUUCAUCUCAAUGAUCCCAUAAGGAAAGAAUGCAAGUAAUAUUCUUUUCAUUUUACAGAUGGAAGAAACUGGGGCUCAAAGAGGUCAGGGAGAGUUUGGCUCUUUUUGCGCGGAGAGGUGGCUGGCGGCAGAGUGCUGAGCAUCUUGGCGUGGUGGCAGCCAUUGUCCGGGUUAGAUGGAAAUGGGAUCAAAAAGGAGUUCAGACUUCAUCUAUACAGUGCCAUAGAAGCACAGACUUAACCUGAAUAGUGCCAAAAAGAGCACACAGACACAUGUAUGUUAGGAAAUGCAUCUGUGUGCCCAAAAAAUGGGUAUAAAACACCAGGCUUGGGGAUGGCGGAGCGGCUAUCAGGUACAAAGCAUGCCCAUAGCCGAAAAUAUACAGCUUGACUGACAGUUCACCACCUGUUGGGAACUCCUGGAGUCGGAAGUGAGGCUGGACCUUGCCUGUGGCAUUUCUGGCGCUGGAACCGGGACCCUUCCUGGAUAGCUAGCAUAGAAUGCCCUCAAAAACACUCAGUGGAGGAAUAUCUGAGGAAAGGUGGCAAAUUCCCAUGGAUGGAAGGAGUUAAACGCUCAGAUUCUCAAUAAAUGUAGCAAAAUGAAUCUCUGCAGUAGCUGCUGCGGCCAUUCCAUCACUACAAGAGUCAUUCCACCAUCCUGGUCUACACUUCUCAUAUUAAACUUGAAUGCCUUCAGAUGAA